GGCGGCAGGCCUAACACAUGCAAGUCGAACGGUAACAUAUCUAGCUUGCUAGAAGAUGACGAGUGGAGGACGGUUGAGUAAUGCUUAGGAAUGUGCCUCUUAGUGGGGGACAACAGUUGGAAACGACUGCUAAUACCGCAUAAGACCAACGGAUCAAAGGGGGCUUCGCUUCUCGCUAGAAGAGAAGCCUAAGUGAUAUUAGCUAGUUGGUGAGGUCACGGCUCACCAAGGCGACGAUCUCUAGCUGUUCUGAGAGGAUGAUCAGCCACACUGGGACUGAGACACGGCCCAGACUCCUACGGGAGGCAGCAGUCUGGAAUAUUGCACAAUGGGGGGAACCCUGAUGCAGCCAUCCCGCGU
rnacentral:rRNA from 1 species